GUGCUCACUUUAGCUGCACCUUGGUAGAAAUGGGAUUUUUUACAGAGAUUUGCAUGGCCUCUACACAAAGAUAACAUGCAAAUUUGUGAAGUGUUUCAUAUUUAA
ensembl:snRNA U6 U6 spliceosomal RNA